rnacentral:piRNA from 1 species
AGCAGCUUUAAGAUACAUAUCCUAAAA